rnacentral:rRNA from 1 species
UACGGGGGGGGCAAGCGUUGUUCGGAAUUACUGGGCGUAAAGGGCGCGUAGGCGGUUUCGGAAGUCAAGGGUGAAAGCCCCGAGCUCAACUCGGGAAUUGCCUUUGAAACCACGGAACUAGAGUGUUGGAGAGGAAAGCGGAAUUUCCAGUGUAGCGGUGAAAUGCGUAGAUAUUGGAAGGAACAUCUGAGGCGAAGGCGGCUUUCUGGACAGACACUGACGCUGAGGCGCGAAAGCUAGGGGAGCGAACGGG